GACGAACGCUGGCGGCGUGCUUAACACAUGCAAGUCGAACGGAAAGGCCCUGCUUUUGUGGGGUGCUCGAGUGGCGAACGGGUGAGUAACACGUGAGUAACCUGCCCUUGACUUUGGGAUAACUUCAGGAAACUGGGGCUAAUACCGGAUAGGAGCUCCUGCUGCAUGGUGGGGGUUGGAAAGUUUCGGCGGUUGGGGAUGGACUCGCGGCUUAUCAGCUUGUUGGUGGGGUAGUGGCUUACCAAGGCUUUGACGGGUAGCCGGCCUGAGAGGGUGACCGGCCACAUUGGGACUGAGAUACGGCCCAGACUCCUACGGGAGGCAGCAGUGAGGAAUAUUGCACAAUGGGCGGAAGCCUGAUGCAGCAACGCCGCGUGCGGGAUGACGGCCUUCGGGUUGUAAACCGCUUUCGCCUGUGACGAAGCGUGAGUGACGGUAAUGGGUAAAGAGGCACCGGCUAACUACGUG
rnacentral:rRNA from 1 species